rnacentral:rRNA from 1 species
UACGGAGGGUGCAAGCGUUAAUCGGAAUUACUGGGCGUAAAGCGCACGUAGGCGGAUUUGUUAGUCAGGGGUGAAAUCCCGAGGCUCAACCUCGGAACUGCCUUUGAUACUGCAAAUCUCGAGUCCGGAAGAGGUGAGUGGAAUUCCUAGUGUAGAGGUGAAAUUCGUAGAUAUUAGGAAGAACACCAGUGGCGAAGGCGGCUCACUGGUCCGGUACUGACGCUGAGGUGCGAAAGCGUGGGGAGCAAACAGG